GCCGGGGUGGCGGAAUGGCAGACGCGGCGGAUUCAAAAUCCGCUGGGCUUCAACGCCCGUGCGGGUUCAAGUCCCGCCCCCGGCA
rnacentral:tRNA from 1 species